GUGGGACUGCUUUGGGCUGCAAGAGCAUCUCAGACACUGACCUCCCCGUGUGCAGGCCCACGGUGCUGGUAGAAAGACCGUGGAUGGAGCCGUAGCAGAAGUGGAAGCCAGCGUGUCCAGGGUGGGGAGGGCCUGGGAUGAGGAGCACCAAGGGUCCUGACUGCUUCUUGUUCUGCCCAAUCCCUGGCCCAGUGGGAGAGGUCGCGUCACCUCCACCCUCCGCCCUCCACCCCUGAGACAGGCUGACCAGGCCAGGCUGGCUGCCUGCAGCAGACUGGUCUCUGUGCCCAGGGUCCCUACAGCCAUGGCCAGGAAAGCCCUUCCCUGGAGGACUCUCUUCCCUCACCGAGCACAGGAACCUGCUCACGGGUCAGAGUGAGCAGGUCUUCCUCAUGCCAGGCCCUGAGGCGGCUCUGCUGACCCCCACGUGGAGAGGCGCAUGGAAGCCAGGUGGCCCACUCCAGAGAGCUCCGUGGCUUCACUCACUGUAGAUCCAGCCACCUCUGGAAAGCCCCGCCUAUGACUGCAUGGGGGAUGGGGGGACAGCUAGACACAGCCAUGACAGCAAGUAUAGUGAAAAUAACCCUGCAUGAGGGCUGCACUGGGGCUGGUGGGGAGGCAGGGGGUAGGGAGAAGCCAGGCAGGACCUCCGGGAGGCUGGAGGCAGCCAGGAAGCCCUGUCACCAGGGGACACACCCAGAGCCCCCUGGUCAGGGAAUGUCUUCAGGCAGGGCCCUGCGGUGGGGGUCCGCAUGGCCAGGCGGCUCUUGGAGGGACCCCCAGAGCCCCGCCCUGGGAUCCACUGCUGGCUCGGGAGCUGCUCCCCCAAGUGACCCCACUUCCGACGUCUGUCUUCCUGCCAACUGAGCGCCACCCCCAGGCCACCCAGCCUUCCCCGGCCGGAGCCGAGGGCCGAUGCCAAGGCUGUCCCAGGUUCUCCUUGGCAGUCCUGCCGCCUCUCUGUCUUAGAUUUGCACAAACAGGACAAAGAACACAGCGUUCGCGUGGCUCCCUCACCCGCCUCCUGCUAAUGUGAGCAUCUUACAUAACCGAGGCACGUUUGUGGGGAGGGAAGAAAUGAAUACUGGAAAGACACUCUGAACACAAUGACAGAUGCUCCUCAGAUUUCACCAGCUUUUCCUCUGGACGUUAAACGGUCCUCCUCAGCCCCAGGCCCCAGUCCCACCCACCACAUCUCCUUUGUCUGCAAGCUUUCCUUGGUCUUCAUGGCUAUCAUUUUCCUACAUAUGUACAAAUACAUGUUUUAUGUCAAUGUUAUAUGUAAAUGGGUCUUCUCUUUACAUAUAUGUAAAACAAUUGCUGGUCCG
rnacentral:lncRNA from 1 species